rnacentral:rRNA from 1 species
UGAUGCUUGAUGCCGCGUGAGUGAAGAAGGCUUUGGGUUGUAAAGCUCUUUUGUAGGGGAAGAUAAUGACUGUACCCUAAGAAUAAGGUCCGGCUAACUUCGUGCCAGCAGCCGCGGUAAUACGAAGGGACCUAGCGUAGUUCGGAAUUACUGGGCGUAAAGCGCGCGUAGGCCGUUGAGUUAGUUAAUUGUGAAAUCCCAAAGCUUAACUUUGGAACUGCAAUUAAAACUGCUCGACUAGAGUUUGAUAGAGGAAAGCGGAAUACAUAGUGUAGAGGUGAAAUUCGUAGAUAUUAUGUAGAACACCAGUUGCGAAGGCGGUUUUCUGGGUCAACACUGACGCUGAGGCGCGAAAGUAUGGGUAGCAAAGAGGAUUAGAUACCCUCGUAGUCCAUACCAUAAACGAUGAUUGCUAGAUGUUGGAAAUUUAUUUUCAGUAUCGCAGCUAACGCAUUAAGCAAUCCGCCUGGGGAGUACGACCGCAAGGUUAAAACUCAAAUGAAUUGACUGGGGACCCGCACAAGCGGUGGAGCAUGUGGUUUAAUUCGAAGAUACGCGCAGAACCUUACCAACCCUUGACAUGUCUGUCGCGAGUUUAGGAAACUAGACUUUUCGGUUCGGCCGGACAGAACACAGGUGCUGCAUGGCUGUCGUCAGCUCGUGUCGUGAGAUGUGGGUUAGUC